GAUUUAGAGCUUGCAGCAGUAUGG
rnacentral:piRNA from 1 species